AUAACGUACUCAUGACAUUUACCUUUGGUUUAGCCAUUGCAAAGACCAACUUCUCCACGCUCUUCUUCCCGACUCCAGGCUCCCUCUGCUGGCUCGUGACCACCAUGAAAUCAUCACGGCAACCACCAAAAGUAAUCACAGACUGGGCAAAUUGAGUGUGAAGCAGGACAUAAUUUCGAGCAACUUUCUGGAAGCGCAUGAGCAACGCUGCCCGCCAGACCAAGAAUGAAAUGGAUCAACAUGGGCUGCUGAAAAUUACAGAGCUGAAGCUAACAUCGUUUACAUGUUGGAACUGCUGCCUGUCAGGGUCAAGAAUGUCAAAUAAGAGGCUGGCCAUUUUAUUUUCCUGUAGAUUUCUGGUGUUUGAAACACCACAGAAUAAAAAUCCUUCCAGAACAGUGUAUCAACAAAGCUAUGUGGCUGUGGCCCAGCCAGCUGAGAACUGAAGACAAACAGGAACUCACUUUUUGAGCUAUAAACUGAAGCAAGUGUAAAAAUUAUUUACUAAAAUGUAAAUAAACUUCAUUCUCUUUUUCAUAUUUUAUGCAGUGGCGGACUGUAACUAAAUACAUUUACUCAAGUACUGUACUUCAGUACUAAUUUGAUGUGCUAUGUACUUAAGUAUUUCCAAUUUAUAUAAAUAAUAAUGGCAAAUAUUGAACUUUUUACUACACUAGAUUUGUCUGACAGCUUUAGUUUCUAGUUACGUUUCUGGUUAUAAUUGUUCAUACCCUUCCUGCCGUGAAAACCAUAUAUCUCCAAAUUUGGUUAUUUACAAUGAAUGCAUCGUUUAAACCCUGCUUGGAUUAGCUGGAAAAUAUUAUAUAAUAAUAUUAUCGUCACAACGUUAAAAACAGCUGUUUUUCUGAGCUCAUGAAAAGUUGACUUAAAAAAUACGUGGUUCUCACACGACAACAACAGAGCUACAAACGUGAUGAUCUGAUAGAAUAUGAUGCAUUUAGAUUAAACUACCUAACAGUAUAUAAAGUAAUUAAAAUUAGGUCAACCAUAAACAUCUACAUCAGUUAAAUGCAACAUACACAUUGACGUAGCAGUAAUAUUAAUCCAAACACAUACAAAAGAACAAUAGUUAUAACACUAAAAGGGACCAUUUUUCUGCACAAUGAAUACUUUUAAGUUUGAUACUUAAGUACAUAUUGCUAGUAAUACUGUUUUGAAUGCAGGACCUCUACUUGAAGUAUUUUUACAAUGUGGUAUUAGUACUUUCAAAGUUAAGGAUCUGAAUACUGUUUUAUGUAACAACACAGGACAGAGAUAGUGUUGAUGGAGGUAUUUGCUCUACACAGUUUGAAACUCACCAUUGCAUAGUCCAGCACACACAAUCCAUCUUCAUUGACUGCCAACCACACCUGGCUCUGCUCAACAGGAGAGGGCGGGACAGGCUGUGGACAGUGGAAUCAGAGACAGGUCAAGUUAAAGGUGUAAUCCAUCUUAACAUUACAGCUUCCCCUCUGGGUCUUCUUCAAGGUCUGAAACUGGUCCAACCUGUGCUUGUGUUAGGGCUCAAGCCAAAUGAAAAGUGUAUUUUUUACUUUGGAUGAAUGGUAGAGUUUGUGUCAAGACAGCAUGUUUGUUUUCAGUAAGACUUCAAAGCUAGGACUGAAUAUAACAGACAAUAAACAAGGAGCGAAGUGAA